ensembl:lncRNA
CCUUGGACACCAUUUACUUUCAUUGGAUGGGAAAGAGCAGCUUGGAUAGUCUGCAAAAUAACAAAUUUUGCACUCCACGAAAGAAAGACAAACGAAUUUGGAAAAACAUGACGGUUCAUACGAGGAGCUGAGUGUGAUUCAGAGCCCAUCUAGUAUCACUGUGAAUGAAGGACAAUCUGAUCAAAUCAGCUGCUGCUGGAAUAAAACAAAAGAAGAAAACUAUGAUUUUAAAGUAGUUUGGUAUAAGGAUAAUGAAAGAAUAAUGGUAGAAAAGCGGCUAAAUCAAACGUCCCCUAUGAAAACCUGCUCCUUUCUGAAAAUCACAAAUAUAGGUAAAAAUGACACUGGAGAUUAUGUUUGUAAAGUGAUUCAGGACAUACCAGUUCUGCUAGAAUAUGAGGGACAAAAAACAUACCUGAAUGUCAGUAAAGGUGAACACAGUACUGAGGCAACAACUCAAAGUAAGAUUCUUCUUCCACACUCAUUCCACUCACACACGUCUUUGUCAUUUCACAUAGCAUUAAGAUUCAUGUCAUUGGAUUUAAGAGAUCUAGCCAACCAUAUUCAUUAG